GCUGGGCAUGGUGAUGCAUACCUGUAAUCCCAGCAACUCAGGAUGCUGAGACAGGAGAGCCUCGAGUUCAAGGCCAGACUCAGCAACUUAGACCCUGUCUCAA
rnacentral:sRNA from 1 species